rnacentral:rRNA from 1 species
UAGGGAAUCUUCGGCAAUGGGGGCGAACCCUGACCGAGCAACGCCGCGUGAGUGAAGAAGAUUUUCGGAUCGUAAAGCUCUGUUGUAAGAGAAGAACGUGUGUGAGAGUGGAAAGUUCACACAGUGACGGUAACUUACCAGAAAGGGACGGCUAACUACGUGCCAG